rnacentral:rRNA from 1 species
ACGAACGCUGGCGGCUGCCUAAGCAUGCAAGUCGUACGGAAGGCCUCUUCGGAGGGCACUCGAGUGGCGCACGGGUGAGUAACGCGUGGGUAAUCUGCCUUAGGGUCUAGGACAACCCCGGGAAACUGGGGCUAAUACUGGAUAAGACCACGAGCUCUUCGGAGCUGUGCGGGAAAAGAUGGCCUCUCCUGGAAGCUAUCGCCCUUCGAUGAGCCCGCGUCCCAUUAGCUAGUUGGUGAGGUCACGGCUCACCAAGGCUUUGAUGGGUAGCUGGUCUGAGAGGAUGAUCAGCCACACUGGAACUGAGACACGGUCCAGACUCCUACGGGAGGCAGCAGUCGGAAUUUUGGGCAAUGGGCGAAAGCCUGACCCAGCAACGCCGCGUGAGGGAUGAAGGCCCUCGGGUCGUAAAACCCUCUGUCGGGAGGGAAGAACGGUGGCCGUUCAAACAGGCGAGGCAGCCUGACGGUACCUCCAAAGGAAGCACCGGCUAACUCCGUGCCAGCAGCCGCGGUAAUAGGAGGGUGCAAGCGUUGUUCGGAAUCAUUGGGCAGUAAAAGCGCGUGUAGGCGGCUUGGCAAGUCGGUUGUGAAAGCCCGGGGCCCAACCCGGAAUUGCAUCCGAAACUGCCUGGCUGGAGUCCCGAGAGGAAAGGCCAAGAAUUCCCGGUGUAUGGGUGAAAUCCGAGAUAUCGGGAGGAAUACCUGCGGCGAAGGCGGCCUUCUGGACGGUGACUGACGCUGAGACGCGAAAAAGCGUGGGAGCAAACAGGAUUAUGAAUACCCUGGUAGUCCACGCCGUAAACGUUGAGUGCUAGGUGUCGCGGGUAUUGACCCCUGCGGUGCCGUCGUUUAACGCUUAGCAGUUAGCACUCCGCCUGGGGAGUACGGUCGCAAGGCUAAAAACUCAAAAGGAAUUGACGGGGGCCCGCACAAGCGGUGGAGCAUGUGGUUUAAUUCGAAGCAACGCGCAGAACCUUACCUGGACUUGACAUCUACGGAACCUCCUGGAAACAGGAGGGUGCCUUCGGGAGCCGUAAGACAGGUGCUGCAUGGCUGUUCGUCAGCUCGUGUCGUGAGGUUGUGGGUUAAGUCCCGCAACGAGGCGCAACCCCUAUCACUAGGUGCCAUCAGUAGGCCCUGGGCACUCUAGUGAGACUGCCGGUGUUAAACCGGAGGAAGGUGGGGAUGACGUCAAGUCCUCAUGGCCCUUAUGUCCCGGGCUACUCACGUGCUACAAAUGGUCGGUACAGAGGGUCUGCUAACCCGCGAGGGGGAGCUAAUCCCUUAAAGCCGGCCUCAGUUCGGAUUGGAGUCUGCAAUUCGACUCCAUGAAGUCGGAAUCGCUAGUAAUCGCGGUAAUCAGCAUGCCGCGGUGAAUACGUUCCCGGGCCCUUGUACACACCGCCCGGCACACCACGAAAGCUGCUUGAACCAGAAGUCGUUUAUCUAACACCGCAAGGGGGGAAAACGCCUAAUGGUGAAGGACUAAAUUAAUGG